CUACGGAGGGUGCAAGCGUUAUUCGGAAUCACUAGGCGUAAAGGACGCGGAGGCGGGUUGGCAAGUCAGAUGUGAAAUCCUACAGCUUAACUGUAGAACUGCAUUUGAAACUGCUAACCUAGAGUAUGGGAGGGGGAGAUGGAAUUAGUGGUGUAGGGGUAAAAUCCGUAGAUAUCACUAGGAAUACCGAAAGCGAAGGCGAUCUCCUGGAACAUAACUGACGCUAAGGCGUGAAAGCGUGGGGAGCGAACAGGAUUAGAAACCCCAGUAGUCC
rnacentral:rRNA from 1 species